rnacentral:rRNA from 1 species
CUGCUGCCUCCCGUAGGAGUUUGGGCCGUGUCUCAGUCCCAAUGUGGCCGGUCCACCCUCUCAGGCCGGCUACUGAUCGCUGCCUUGGUGGGCCGUUACCCCGCCAACUAGCUAAUCAGACGCGGAUCCAUCGUAUACCACCGGAGUUUUUCACACUGCCCCAUGCGGAGCCGUGCGCUUAUGCGGUAUUAGCACCUAUUUCUAAGUGUUAUCCCCCGGUAUACGGCAGGUUAUCCACGCGUUACUCACCCGUCCGCCAA